AUAUAUAUAUAUAUAUAUAUAUAUAUAUAUAUAUAUAUAUAUAUAUAUAUAUAUAUAUAUAUAUAUAUAUAUGUGUGUAUAUAUGAACAUAAACACACGCACAUACACACAUAAGGCAUGCAUUUAGUUAGAAACCUCAAAUGGAAAGAAGGUGCAUGCACAGCGAAUGGUUAUGUUUCCUUGACAACAUCAGCAACACUAAGUUCCUGUUACAGUGUCCUAACAAACGAGCUUUGGUCUUUUCCAGCUCUUUUUGUUUUCUUCAUUUUCCUGCUGAGCCAUACAUUUGUUGACGUUCUGUUUUGUUUGGGGCAAAUGUAUGUUAGACAUCAGCCGAGUGGUUUGAGCUGCCUGCACCACUUCUCCACUGCUGGCGAGCUAUUGUUUUCUUUCUCACACCACUGCAGGCCUGUGUUCCAUUUUGUUUGUGUUUGGUAAGCAUUUAUCUGUUGCUCAUUAAUGUUAUAUCCUCACUGCGUUUGAAACUGUGUUCAUUUUAAUGCACUAAGGUUAAGUGUCUCUCCUUUGAUCCUUCUGCAGCAUACAGUUUUUUUUUCUAAACAUCAAAUGGGGGAAAGGCAUACAGCCUAACUCUAGCCUUGAGGGGACCACAUGACAUUGUACUGUUUCCAGAACCGUCAAAAAUAAACAAAAAACAUAUUCUCCAAUUGUUUCAUCUUCAGAUUUGCAUAUUGAGGGGUGAAAAGCAGCAGAACGUCAUUCUGCUUUGCUUUAAUAGAAUGAAAAUGAGCGGUUGGUUGUGUUUUAUCCCACCGUGUCCACAUGAAAUGAGUAAACAGUUGAGAAAGAAGAGUGUAUUCCCCUUUGCUAAACUGAAAGAAAAAUGACAAACAUCCACCAUCUUUUCAUGUUGAGUGGAGAGUUGAAAGUAAAAGUGAGCGUGUGUUUCUACUGUAUCUCUAAAGUUGGUUGAGGAUGACUUGCUGCUUAGAGGGAGGGCAGAGCAGACCUGUGCUACAGUCCCAUCUGGGGUUACCAGAUCUGGGUCACAUAGUACUUGCAGAAAAUUGUUCUUGUUUAAUGUAUCCUGGUUGGAGUAUCAGAACAUUUUACACGAGGAAAAUAUUAAUUUAUGUAACUGAAAAUGCAACUUUUCCAUUGCCCCCGGUGCAGUAAUCUCCACUGAUUUUGGUUCUCCAAGUAGGAUUCAUCAAACAAAAAUGAUAAGGUGUAAACACUGAUCGAUCCAGGCCUGGUUGUAAAACACACUACACUGGCCUGUCCUGGAGUCUCUGACCAUCACCGUGAUCAAUGUAAGCAGUCAAGAAACUGUUUUGUAUGUAUAUAAAUAAAUAAAUAAGUCUAUCUGAGAAGAAGAUUAAUAUUCCUAGUCAAGUAGUCUCUCUGGUGUAUAAAAACAACCCAACCUGGUUGGACUAUGUAGCAUCUUAAUAAAUUAAAUGAAUAAAGCCUCUACCUAAACGUG
ensembl:lncRNA